CUUUUGUGGGGUGCUCGAGUGGCGAACGGGUGAGUAACACGUGAGUAACCUGCCCUUGACUUUGGGAUAACUUCAGGAAACUGGGGCUAAUACCGGAUAGGAGCUCCUGCUGCAUGGUGGGGGUUGGAAAGUUUCGGCGGUUGGGGAUGGACUCGCGGCUUAUCAGCUUGUUGGUGGGGUAGUGGCUUACCAAGGCUUUGACGGGUAGCCGGCCUGAGAGGGUGACCGGCCACAUUGGGACUGAGGUACGGCCCAG
rnacentral:rRNA from 1 species